rnacentral:tRNA from 1 species
GCCCGAGUGGUGGAAUUGGUAGACACAAGAGACUUAAAAUCUCUCGACCUUUGGUCAUGCCGGUUCAAGUCCGGCCUCGGGUACCA